UGAAAGUGUUUGAAUUUUUAUUAUUAAGUUUUACUGGAUUAUUAGGUUGUUUGUUAAUGUGUAGAUUUUUUUUGUAUUUACUUGUCUCUUUUUAGUUUUCUACAUUCCAUUUAUUUUUGUUUAACACUUUCAUUUUUCUUCAGGUCUGAAUUUGGCACACUCUUUGAUUUCGCUCAACUACAUUAUUUUUGUAAGGUAUCAAAUUCAUAUAUACUUCUAUUCACCCUUACCAAUUUUGUGUAUCUUAAAUUUCUAUGUUGUGUGGUUUAUGAUUUGGUGAUGUGAUUAUGAUUGAGGACUACUAAUUAGUACUCUACUAAAUUUUAAGUUCUAAGUUAGUAAUUUAAUUCAUACCUCUGUUACUAUAAGUUAAAUAUGAUUAAGUAAGUGAUUCAUACCUCUUAAUUUAACUUGGUUUUUGUUUAAUCAUGGAAUAUCCAAAUAAGAUUCCUCAUAAUGUACGUUAUUUUAAUUAUUAUUAUUAUUAAUUCAUAUUCUUACAUAUAAGUAUGUGUAAUGUAGUGCAAUUCAAUUCUGACUCAAUUUUGCGUUACUUUUAUAAUUGAAGUAUUUUUAUCGCCAUAGACAUCCUAGUACUCUAAAGAGAUGCUAGAUGAGGUGAAGGAGGAGUGGGCUACCUAUAUGGUUGAAGAUGUUAUCAAUGAUGCAAAAAGGCUGCAAAAAUAAUAGUUGAUCAUUAAUUGGUAAGUUUUAUCUUAUAAAUAUUUAAACAUCCAAAUAUAUUCUGAUAUGGCUGCUGUGCUUGGUAGAAAAAUGUAGUUGGUAUUCUUGGAUUUCACAUCCAUUGUCAAAUUUUAUGGCUACUUAGGAAUUUGGACAUGUGACACUAAAAUUUUAGAGUAAUGGGGAUAAUCAUAAUGUCCCUAAGGUCAUACUAUUUUUCCUCUUAAAAAUAUUAUUUGUAAAUGGGAUAUUGAAACACUAGGAUGAAUUAUGAGUAUGCUGCCAAACGAUGUAUUAUCAAGCAAAUGCCUAAUUUCUUGUACAUCUAUAUAUACAAUGACUAUGUUUUAUUAUGCAGGUAGUUUGAGGCCUUCCUUUUUCAAUGAAGUGGGUGGUUCUCAUCAAGUGACAGGAAAAUGAGUUUUGUAGCUGUUGUUAGAUGUCAAAUUUGUAGUGGUCUUUGUGNNN
rnacentral:lncRNA from 1 species